CCUACGGGUGGCUGCAGCAAGGAGUUUUCCGCAAUGGGCGAAAGCCUGACGGAGCAACGCCGCGUGGGGGAUGACACCUUUCGGGGCGUAAACCCCUUUUCUUGGGGACGAAGCAGUGACGGUACCCGAGGAAGAAGGCCCGGCUAACUACGUGCCAGCAGCCGCGGUAAUACGUAGGGGCCGAGCGUUGUCCGGAGUUACUGGGCGUAAAGCGCGCGCAGGCGGCUCGUCAAGCCUGACGUGAAAGCCCCCGGCUCAACCGGGGAGGGUCGUCGGGGACUGGCGGGCUUGAGGUCGGCAGGGGUUGGUGGAAUUCCCGGUGUAGUGGUGAAAUGCGUAGAGAUCGGGAGGAACACCCGUGGCGAAGGCGGCCAACUGGGCCGGACCUGACGCUGAGGCGCGAAGGCGUGGGGAGCGAACGGGAUUAGAUACCCGGGUAGUC
rnacentral:rRNA from 1 species